GACGAACGCUGGCGGCGUGCCUAAUACAUGCAAGUAGAACGCUGAAGAGAGGAGCUUGCUCUUCUUGGAUGAGUUGCGAACGGGUGAGUAACGCGUAGGUAACCUGCCUGGUAGCGGGGGAUAACUAUUGGAAACGAUAGCUAAUACCGCAUAAAAUGGAUUAUCGCAUGAUAAUCCAUUGAAAGGUGCAAAUGCAUCACUACCAGAUGGACCUGCGUUGUAUUAGCUAGUUGGUGGGGUAACGGCUCACCAAGGCGACGAUACAUAGCCGACCUGAGAGGGUGAUCGGCCACACUGGGACUGAGACACGGCCCAGACUCCUACGGGAGGCAGCAGGAGGGAAGCUUCGGCAAUGGACGGAAGUCUGACCGAGCAACGCCGCGUGAGUGAAGAAGGUUGUCGGAUCGUAAAGCUCUGUUGUAAGAGAAGAACGAGUGUGAGAGUGGAAAGUUCACACUGUGACGGUAUCUUACCAGAAAGGGACGGCUAACUACGUG
rnacentral:rRNA from 1 species